rnacentral:sRNA from 1 species
UUGUAUGCGUUAGGGAUAGCAGUGGCAUCCUUUUUUGUUAUCCUUAAACCUCUUAAAAAAACGUUGGAUCGGUAACAAAAAAGAUAUAACGAAUAGCCCGACCCUGA